rnacentral:rRNA from 1 species
UACGUAGGGACCGAGCGUUGUCCGGAAUCAUUGGGCGUAAAGAGCGUGUAGGCGGCUAUUUAAGUCCUGCGUGAAAUCCUGCGGCUCAACCGCAGACGGUCGUGGGAAACUGGAUGGCUAGAGGGCGGGAGAGGAGAGUGGAAUUCCCGGUGUAGCGGUGAAAUGCGCAGAUAUCGGGAAGAACACACUUGGCGAAGGCGGCUCUCUGGAACGCAACUGACGCUGAGACGCGAAAGCGUGGGGAGCAAACAGG